UACGUAGGGUGCAAGCGUUAAUCGGAAUUACUGGGCGUAAAGCGUGCGCAGGCGGUUUUGUAAGUCUGUCGUGAAAUCCCCGGGCUCAACCUGGGAAUUGCGAUGGAGACUGCAAGGCUAGAGUUUGGCAGAGGGGGGUAGAAUUCCACGUGUAGCAGUGAAAUGCGUAGAGAUGUGGAGGAACACCGAUGGCGAAGGCAGCCCCCUGGGUCAAAACUGACGCUCAUGCACGAAAGCGUGGGGAGCAAACAGG
rnacentral:rRNA from 1 species